rfam:Gorilla gorilla gorilla genomic chromosome, chr4, whole genome shotgun sequence
GCUGGGCAUGGUGGUACAUGCCUGUUGUCCCAGCUACUUGGGAGGCUGAGGUGGGAGGAUCACUUGAGCCCGGGAAGUCGAGGCUGCAGUGGGCCGUGAUUGUGCCACUGCACCCAAGCCUGGGCAAAAGAGUGAGACCCUGUCUCCA